AGGUUAAGCUAUAAAGAGCAUAGGGUGGAUGCCUAGGCACUGAGAGCCGAUGAAAGACGUGAUAAGCUGCGAUAAGCUGCGGUAAGGAGCAAAUAUCCAUUGACCCGCAGAUUUCUGAAUGGGGAAACCUACGCAAGAAGACCUUGCGUACUCAUACAUGAAUACAUAGUGUAUGAGAGGGAACCCGGGGAACUGAAACAUCUAAGUACCCGGAGGAAGAGAAAGAAACAUCGAUUUCCUGAGUAGCGGCGAGCGAAAGGGAAAGAGCCCAAACCAGAGGAUUUAUCCUUUGGGGUUAGGACUGCAUAAUUGAUCUGCAAUUGAUAGGAGAACGGUCUGGGAAGUCCGGCGAGAAAGCGUGAAAGCCGCGUAUCCGAAAUCGAAAGCAGCAAGGCAGGAUCCAGAGUACCACGAGACACGAGAAACCUUGUGGGAAUGAGCGGAGACCACUCCGUAAGGCUAAAUACUACUCAGUGACCGAUAGCGCAUAGUACUGUGAAGGAAAGGUGAAAAGGACCCCGGGAGGGGAGUGAAAGAGAACCUGAAACCCUGUGUUUACAAGCUGUCGAAGCACGCAAGUGCGACGGCGUACUUUUUGUAGAACGGUCCGGCGAGUUAUGAUGAGUGGUAAGGUUAAGGACUUAAGGUCCGGAGCCGAAGCGAAAGCGAGUGUUAAAAGCACGGUUGAAUCGCUUAUCAUAGACCCGAAACCGGGUGAUCUAUCCAUGUCCAGGUUGAAGCUGCCGUAAGAGGUAGUGGAGGACCGAACACACAUCCGUUGAAAAGGGUGGUGAUGAGGUGUGGAUAGGGGAGAAAUUCCAAUCGAACCCGGAGAUAGCUGGUUCUCCUCGAAAUAGCUUUAGGGCUAGCCUCUGGUUAGUCUGCCGCAGGUAGAGCACUGAAUUUCCUAGGGGGCGUCAAAGCCUACCGAAGAAUAUCAAACUGCGAAUGGCGGACAGAUGAUGCCAGGGAGUCAGACUGCACGAGAUAAGUUGGGUGGUCAAAAGGGAAAGAGCCCAGACCUACAGCUAAGGUCCCAAAGUGUGUGUUAAGUGGAAAAGGAUGUGGGAUUUCGAAGACAACUAGGAUGUUGGCUCAGAAGCAGCCACACAUUAAAAGAGUGCGUAAUAGCUCACUAGUCGAGAGGUCCUGCGCCGAAAAUGUCCGGGGCUAAAACACAACACCGAAGCUUAGGAAUUCUAAUGAAUUGGUAGAGGAGCAUUGAAGACGGAACGAAGCCAUACCGUAAGGAAUGGUGGACUGUCUUGAAGAGAGAAUGCCGGAAUGAGUAGCGAGAUUGAAGUGAGAAUCUUCAAGGCCGAAUAUCUAAGGUUUCCAGGGUAAAGCUGAUCUGCCCUGGGUAAGUCGGGGCCUAAGGCAAGGUCGAAAGACGUAGUCGAUGGAUAACAGGUUGAAAUUCCUGUACUGCAUCAAAUCAGAAAUGUGGGGACACAUGAGGGAAGCAUGAGCCGGAAAAGGAAAGUCCGGUACAAGCGCAGCAGAGGACAGAUAGGCAAAUCCGUCUGUCAACUCAAGGGCGCGAUGUGGAGCGAACCAAAGUAGCGAAGCAUGUGGAGCUUGUGUCGAGAAAAGCCGCUAUUGUGUUUGAUGUACCCGUACCGUAAACCGACACAGGUGGAUGAGGAGAGAAUCCUAAGGCCGGCGGGAGAAGCAUUGUUAAGGAACUCGGCAAAAUGACCCCGUAACUUCGGGAGAAGGGGUGCUCCAGAGAUGGAGCCGCAGAGAACUGGCCCAAGCAACUGUUUAGCAAAAACACAGGUCUAUGCAAAACCGAAAGGUGAGGUAUAUGGGCUGACGCCUGCCCGGUGCUGGAAGGUUAAGAGGAGAUGUUAGCCGCAAGGUGAAGCAUUGAAUUUAAGCCCCAGUAAACGGCGGCCGUAACUAUAACGGUCCUAAGGUAGCGAAAUUCCUUGUCGGGUAAGUUCCGACCCGCACGAAAGGCGUAAUGAUUUGGGCACUGUCUCGACAAUGCACCCGGUGAAAUUGAAAUACCAGUGAAGAUGCUGGUUACCUGCGCCAGGACGGAAAGACCCCAUGGAGCUUUACUCUAGCUUGAUACUGGGGUUCGGUAUUGCAUGUACAGGAUAGGUGGGAGACGAAGAGGCAGUGACGCCAGUUGCUGCGGAGUCGAUGUUGGGAUACCACCCCUGCAGUACUGGGCUUCU
rnacentral:rRNA from 1 species